GGCUCGGUAGUGGAGGGUCCGCAUCUGCUUUUCAUAACAUGUGACGUGUGAAUGGGUAAUGCAGCACAAAGCCUGUUCGACUCAGGCCCGAGCCA